rnacentral:rRNA from 1 species
AUACAUGCAAGUCGAACGAGAAAGCUUCUUCGGAAGCAAGUAAAGUGGCAGACGGGUGAGUAAUGCAUAGGUGAUCUACCCGGUAGUGGGGAAUAACUCGAAGAAAUUCGAGCUAAUACCGCAUGAGUACUGCAACUUUGAAAGGAGCAGUAGAAAGAUGGCCUCUGUAUCGGCUCUCGCUGAAAGAUUGGCCUGCGUAGCAUUAGCUUGUUGGUGGGGUAAAGGCCUACCAAGGCGACGAUGCUUAACUGGUCUGAGAGGAUGAUCAGUCACACUGGAACUGAGACACGGUCCAGACUCCUACGGGAGGCAGCAGUAGGGAAUAUUGCGCAAUGGAGGAAACUCUGACGCAGCAAUGCCACGUGAGUGAGGAAGGUCUUCGGAUUGUAAAGCUCUGUCCUAUAGGAAGAACUGCCUUGUGGUUAAUACCCACUUGGUUUGACGGUACUAUAGAAGAAAGCACCGGCUAACUCCGUGCCAGCAGCCGCGGUAAUACGGAGGGUGCAAGCGUUGUUCGGAUUUACUGGGCGUAAAGCGCGCGCAGGCGGACUAGCAAGUCAGAUGUGAAAUCUCAGGGCUUAACCCUGAAACUGCGUCUGAAACUGUUAGUCUAGAGUCUCACAGGGGGUAGGGGAAUUUCACGUGUAGGGGUAAAAUCCGUAGAGAUGUGAAGGAACACCAGAGGCGAAGGCGCCUUCCUGGAUGAGUAUUGACGCUGAGGCGCGAAAGCGUGGGGAGCAAACAGGAUUAGUCCCCUGGUAGUCCACGCCGUAAACGAUGUGCACUAGAUAUUGUGGGUAUUGACCCCUGCAGUGUCGUAGCUAACGCAUUAAGUGCACCGCCUGGGGAGUACGGUCGCAAGACUAAAACUCAAAGGAAUUGACGGGGGCCCGCACAAGCGGUGGAUUAUGUGGUUUAAUUCGAAGCUACGCGCAGAACCUUACCUGGGCUUGAAAUCCUGAGAAGAUUGUAGAGAUACGAUUGUGCCCUUUGGGGAACUCAGUGACAGGCGCUGCAUGGCUGUCGUCAGCUCGUGUCGUGAGAUGUUGGGUUAAGUCUCGCAACGAGCGCAACCCCUAUCUUUAGUUGCCAGCAUUAAGUUGGGCACUCUAGAGAGACUGCCUGGGUUAACCAGGAGGAAGGUGGGGAUGACGUCAAGUCCUCAUGGCCCUUAUGUCCAGGGCUACACACGUAAUACAAUGGUCGGUACAAAGGGAAGCGAACUCGCGAGGGGGAGCAAAUCUCAAAAAGCCGAUCUCAGUCCGGAUUGGAGUCUGCAACUCGACUCCAUGAAGUUGGAAUCGCUAGUAAUCGCGGAUCAGCACGCCGCGGUGAAUACGUUCCCGGGCCUUGUACACACCGCCCGUCACACCACGGGAGUUGAUCUUACCUGAAGUCGUGGCCCUAACUGCUUGCAGAGGGGAGCGCCUACG